CGUGUGUCGGUUGGAGCUUGCUCCAACCAACCGAGCGGCGGACGGGUGAGUAACACGUGGGCAACCUGCCCAUCAGACCGGGAUAACCGCGGGAAACCGCGGCUAAUACCGGAUAAUCCUUUGCCACGCAGGUGGUAAAGUUGAAAGGCGGCUUCGGCUGUCACUGGUGGAUGGGCCUGCGGCGCAUUAGCUGGUUGGUGGGGUAACGGCCCACCAAGGCGACGAUGCGUAGCCGACCUGAGAGGGUGAUCGGCCACACUGGGACUGAGACACGGCCCAGACUCCUACGGGAGGCAGCAGUAGGGAAUCUUCCGCAAUGGACGCAAGUCUGACGGAGCAACGCCGCGUGAGUGAUGAAGGGUUUCGGCUCGUAAAACUCUGUUGUCAGGGAAGAACGUCCCCGUGAGUAACUGCACGGGGAGUGACGGUACCUGACCAGAAAGCCACGGCUAACUACGUGCCAGCAGCCGCGGUAAUACGUAGGUGGCAAGCGUUAUCCGGAAUUAUUGGGCGUAAAGCGCGCGUAGGCGGUUCCUUAAGUCUGAUGUGAAAGCCCCCGGCUCAACCGGGGAGGGUCAUUGGAAACUGGGGAACUUGAGUGCAGAAGAGGAGAGUGGAAUUCCAUGUGUAGCGGUGAAAUGCGCAGAGAUA
rnacentral:rRNA from 1 species